UACGUAGGGUGCAAGCGUUAAUCGGAAUUACUGGGCGUAAAGCGUGCGCAGGCGGUUUUGUAAGUCUGUCGUGAAAUCCCCGGGCUCAACCUGGGAAUUGCGAUGGAGACUGCAAGGCUAGAAUCUGGCAGAGGGGGGUAGAAUUCCACGUGUAGCAGUGAAAUGCGCAGAUAUGUGGAGGAAUACCGAUGGCGAAGGCAGCCCCCUGGGUCGAUACUGACGCUCAUGCACGAAAGCGUGGGGAGCAAACAGG
rnacentral:rRNA from 1 species